UUAUCAUUUAUUAUAAGAUAUAAAACACAAACAGAUAUAUAUAUUACAAGAAAUUAUUAAAAAAAAACCCAAAUAUAUAUUACAAGAAAUUAUUUAAAAAAAAACAGAUAUAUAUUACAAGAAAUUAUUAAAAAAAAAAGAGCAAAACCAGCAACCACAUGCAUGAAAAACCAUUAAGUCUCCAAUAUAAAAAGUCCUCUAUAACCCUCAGGAAAAAAAAAGGAUCAAAUCCCAUAAAAAAAUUUUACAUUUUCUUUUUUUUAUUAUUAUUGUAAGAAAUUAAAUGGCAAAAAGAGAUACUAUCAAAGAAGAACACAUCAAAGCCACAGAGACCGGCAACGCCAGUGCAGCUCCGGUGUCCAUCGCCGGUGACGGAGCAAUAUCCUGUGGCAUUACUCCACGAGUGUACACUAAAAAUAAUGGCACAAGUAGCAUCACCAUGUGAGCAAAUGAAGCUCCAAACUCUGCCAUUCUCUUGUCUGAAAACUUAUGGUGAUACAAUUUUGAGAGAGAGAGAGAGAGGUAAUGGGAUGUUGUGGGAGAGAGUUAUAUCAAACUAAGCAUUUAUAGGCAGUGAAUGAAUUCUUUGUACGUUUUUUAACUGUUCAAACACAUUAAAUUUUUUAAAUUAAUUAUUAAUAAAUUUAUUUUUAGAAAUAUAAAUGAUGGUUAAAUCUUUUUUUUUUUUUGAAAUAGAAUGAUGGUUAAAUCUUUAACUCUUUUAGAAAUAUAAAUUAUAAUAUAUUCUUUAAAAUUUUAUAUUAUGGAUAAUAAAAGUAAAACUUUUCAAAUUUGCAAUAAUUAUAAUCAAGAUGAUUAAAUUAAAUUUUAAAAAAUUAAUAAUAAAUUAUAAUAUAAUUUUUAAAAUUUUAAUAUAUAAAUUUAUAAUUACAAUUUUAAUAUAUAAGAUAAUAAUUUAUUGUAAAGGUUAUUUUUAUAUUAAAUUUAAACUUGUUAAAUAUAUAAAUGAAUUAUUUUUAGUAAGUGUAAAUAUUAUAUUAAUAAAUAUUUUCGCUCUAAGUAUAAAUAUUGUGCUUAUUAGUGACCGAAACAUACAAAAUGAGGUCUAAAAUUUUAAUAUUUGAUCUGAAGUAUCUUUGGAUUUGAGCAUUUUUGGUUUUUUUUUUUUUAAAAUUUCUUUUCAAAUUGAAAUAUAAAUUUUAGAAAGGAAAGGUGGUGUGUCAAAAUGGAGAGUUGAGAAGUAAGCUUUAAAAAUGUCAAUUAUUAGUAAUGAGAAGGAAAGUUGGUUUGGCAUAGUCAAAUAACAAAAUAGUAUAAACUAUAAAUUAAUCUUUCAGUUACCCCUUUCUUAUUUUUCAUAACUUUCCAUUUGAGAUUACGAUUAAGUAGAGGUGUAAAUGAACCAAACCGUUCGUGAGCUAUUCGAGGUUCGAUUUGAUAAAAACUCGACCGAACUCGACUCGAUUUCUAAACGAGCUAAGCUCGAGCUUAAUUUUUAGGCUCGUUUGGUAAACGAGCCAAACUUGAACUCCAUAGUAUUCGGCUCGUUAAGACUCGUGAGUUCGGCUCGUUUCUGAGUUCAUGAGCAGGCUCGCGAAUAGACUCGUGAACAGUCUCGUUAAGCAAACUGAAAUUACUAUUAUAAGAGAAAUAAACUCAAAUUCUGCAUAUACUUUAAUGAGUCAAAUCUAAAUUUUUUAAAAUUUAGCUCUAUAUAGUUUAGUUACACUCUUAAACUUGCAUAUAUUUGGAUCAUUAAGAUUUAAAAACUCAUCUUUAUAAGUUUACAUACUAAUUUGUAGAUAUACUUAUUUAACUAAAAUUAUUUUAGUUUUAAACUUAUUAGUUUUAAACUAAAACUCAUUAUACAUGUAAAUAAAUUAAAUUACUCGUGAACUAUUCGAGAUUCAGCUCGAUAAAAGCUCGACUCGUCUAAGCUCGUUUGCUAAACGAGCCAAGUUUGAACUUCUUAAUACUCAGCUCGAGUUUGAUAUGAGUAAAACUCGCAUUCAGCUCGAGUUCGAAAAAAUUUUAACGAACUAAACUUGAGCUCUUCAAAGCUCGACUCGGCUCGGUUCGGUUCGUUUACACCCCUAGAAUUAAGCCAACUCUCAACUAUCAUUUUAUGCUUAAUUAUUUCAUUUUCUCUAUUUAUUUUAAAUAAUUAAUUUUGAUUGAAAUUCGAAUUCAAAAUCUAAAUAAGUCGAAUUCUAAAUCUAAAUCUUAUUUAUGAUAAUUGAGAGAGAGAUUCAGAGGUUCUUGACUGAUUCAAAGCAGAAGCUGCACUAAUUUUGCACCACAAAUUCAAUGGGAAAAAAAACAGUAAGACCUAUAUUUACUCAUCUUUUUAUUAUAAUCUAAAAAUAGCCAUAAAUUAUUUUUAUAAAUUCCUAUUCACCACCAUAUGUUCUUCACUGAAAAAAAAAACAAAAAAUAAUAAAUUUUCUUUUUAAUAAAAAAUUUGAAAAACUACAUAAAAAUAAAAACCCUUACUUCAUCUACAAGGCAAGUGUAGGCAUCCAUUUUCAUCAUGGACAUGAAGAAGAUCUCCUUUGCCGUCCUCAUUGUUGCCGCCUCUAUGAGCGCAGCCUUGAUAGCCCACGCCGCCGAGGGCCCUGCCGUCGAGGGCCCUGCUGCUGAGGGCCCUGCCGCCGAGGGCCCUGCUGCUGCUGCAGGCCCCGGCGCUUCUGCUGUGGCCCCCACCAGCGGAGCUGCCGUGACAUCCCCGGUUGUUGGGUCUUUGAUCGGAGCUUUCCUUUUGUCCUUCUUUGCCUACUAUUUGCAGUAAGCUUUUUUUAAGAGGGAAGGAGAGAACAGGAUAAUUAAUAUAUAAUAUAUAAAAAAAGGAAUGAGUUACUGGGGAAUAUGUAGAAACAAUUUUCUUCAAUGAAGAGAUUGAUAAGAGAAGAGCAGAUGAUAAUUGUAAAUCUGUUUGGUUUCUCGGAAUUUAUUUUUUUCAGUUUGUUGCAGAAAUUUCCCCUUAACUAAUUAAUUUCUGUUUUGUCAUAUAUAUUUUGCUAGCUGAUACGUUGCAAUAAAGGUAAAAAAUUUAAAACAAAAAUUCUGAUUCACUAUUUUGCUUCUUUAAUAGAGUAUUGCAGGCUUUUUCCAUCUCUAAUAGUUAGUUUUACAAUCCGGAAUUAUAUAAAAAAAAAUGGGAAAAAAUAUUUUUCUUUUUACUUACAGAAAACCCACAAAUAAAAAUAAAUAAAUAAAUAAUUUUUUUACAAAAUCAUAUAUAAUUCAAUAGUCAGUGUCAUAAAAAAUAAGUGUUUGUAGUUCUGAAUUUGGUGCAUUGUUUUAACUCAAAAGGAUGAACUUGGUCCCAAGUUGUUAUACAGCAGGCACCAUGAUUAAAGCAUCUGUAUAAAAUUUUAGCAUAGUCCUCAUAAGGCCAAGAAUCCAAUGAUUUGAGUCUCCUUCCUGGAAUUUCCAAUGUAACAAGAAAAGAGAAAUUUGAUAUAUUCUAUUUGCAUUUCUUAGAACAAUCUAGAAAUUUCCAGUGCACCAAGAACAAGAGAAAUUUAGCUUGGUCUGUUUGUAUCUCUAAGAACUCUUAACAGCCAUCUCAUCCAAAUGAGCACAUAUCUCAUACAUUCAAAAGUUAACAGAGAGUGAAACAAUAAAUAAAAUAUGUUUAUAAGUCAUGCACUUCAUCAAACAACACUCUGAAGAAACACAUCUUUAUGUCAACACAAUUUAUAGAUACAUAUUCUCACUGUACUAAUAAUAAAUUAGUGGCAAUCACCUCAUGUUCAGGUUCCUCCAUUAAAUUUAUGCUGUGACAUGAGACUUUUUGUCAGCCAAAUUGCUGUUUCUCUAGACGAGACCACUUCUUCCCCGAAUGGGUUUAGGACACCGGCGAGCUCAUCAAUUUUGUCCUGUUUAAGUAGCCGUGCACAUAGCUCAAGCAAAGACUCUAGAGCAUCAGCUCUUUGCAGUCCAGCAUUCUCCCACUCACUCUUGGUUUCGUCAAUAUGCAUUGCAGCAAGUUUAUUGAGUAAUGAAAUUUCACCUGGUGUUGGUACCUUCAUCUCAUAAGCAUCAUAUUUCUCCAUUUGCAUGGAGCGCUUAUUCUUAUCUUGUUUUGCUCCAAUUUCAUCUUUACAUGAAAGGAUAUCAUUACUUUCAGAUGAUAAGUAUUCCAUAUGAAUUCCUUCCUUGUAUACAUCAGGGCUUUCUGGUUUCUUUAAACGACAUUCCGAGUCUUCACAAGGUUUGUUUAUAGGUGACACUGUGCUUUUGUCAUCAAGGGAAGCGUCUUUGUCAAUGCAAUUUAGAGCAAGGAUUGCCAAUCCCUUGCUAUCUACUGCUGUCACAGCCUGUCCCUCUGCUUCAGCUUCUUCAGCAACUUUUUGGAUGCAAAAGGUUGGCUGAUCUUUUGCAGUAACAACCUUGAUCUUAACAUCUUGCAAUUGUUGAAAAUGCCCAGAUGCAAUUUCACCUUCACGUUCAGAAUUCCAUGAGCUCUUCAAAGUAAACUCAACUUCAGUGCUAUCUUUUUGAAGUAGACUGCUAGAAUCAACUUGCUUGUCUCCAUUGCAAAUACUAGUUUCAGAACCAGUAGGACUGUCCUUUGGAACAGUCAUAGAAUCUGAUAUUUCCACAGCACAGCUUGUAGGAUCAACCCUCUUGGUCUCAAGGUUGUCUUCUGCACUUGAUGUUGAUGUCGGGAUGCCAAUGUGAGGUUGAUUGCUUUGCUGCACAACACCAUUUCUUUCAAAUGGAUGAUAAUUUUCUGGCUGGUUAUGUGGCCCAGCUUCUCUGUCCUUGUUGGCUUUGCCACCGUUAGGUUUGCCAGACAAUGAUUUUCUCUUUGUUUUCUCCUUUGAAUUGUUUAUGGGCUUUAUUGGAAGAAACACAGAAGAUGCAUUGCGGCAACGAAGUAAAUAUGAUUGCAAAUGAGGAUGUCUUAACAGUUCUGCAGCCUAAAUGUCAAGUCAUGCUCAUGUUAGAAUGGAUCAUGGGGCUGAAAUUAAUAGAUUAAAACUAUAGGCAAACUCACUGUUGGCCUGUGUUCUGGGUUCUUCCUCAGCAUGCUCUUAAUAAUUUGUUUCCUGUGACAUGGAACUCACCACACAUAUAGUUAGGCCAUUAAAGAGAAUAAGAUUUAUUAAUCAUGAAAAAAAAACACGUCACCAGCAUUUUCCAUUUAUGAAGAAAGUACUUACAGUGAGGAUGAAUACACAAUUGGAAGAGGAGAAAUGGACGAUCUGUUUAUUUUGUUGAUUAGUCCAGCCAUAUCCUGUUGAAGUUAUUCAUUUAAUUAUGGUACUUGAAAUUCAUAUUGAAGCAAAAAACAGAUUAUUUACCAAUAACUAAAUAGUAGUGUACUACUUAUAUAUACUACUCAGGCUUGUACUUACAGGAGCUCUAAAUGCUGGAUGAUGAGCUGCCAUUUCAAACAUACAACAGCCUGAAACAGCAGGAAGAUGUUACUCCUAAUGAAGAAGGAAAUUUAAUAAAUCUAUAAGCAUGAUCUCAGAUUUCUUACCAAGUGACCAUAUGUCGGAUUUGUAGCCAUAAGGUAUAUCUGCUAGCAGCUCAGGACACAUGUAAUUAGGUGUGCCAACAACCUAGGUUACACGAGGCAUGAAAACCAAAAAGAUGUGAACAAAUAAAUAACUUGAUGGGGGAUAAGUAGUUCAAACAUUAGCUCUUAAGGCAUGAAAUAUAUUUGAAUCCAUACCGAAGAUGCAAGGUCUUCUGUGUUAAGCAGCUUUGCAAGUCCAAAGUCACCUGUUCAGUCCAUGAAAAAUGAGCAAUUCUUAGAAGGCUUUAAGACAAAGAAGCCAAACUUGAUGAAAAUCCUUCUAGUUAGAAGUUCUUCAUACCAAGGCGGAUAUUAUUCUCCUUUGUAAGGAAUAUGUUGGAGCACUGGAAUUGAACAAGAUUAUGUAAGAAACAAAACAAUACAAAAACUUCCCUUCAUUGCAUAAAUCAAUGUAUAAUUCUGAACCUUAAGAUCUCUGUGAAGGACACGGUUAGAGUGUAGGUAGUCCACAGCUAGCAAUAACUGAGUCAACCAUUUGCAGAGCUUCUGAAGAGCACAGCACAGUAACUAUCUAUGUUGAUAAAAUGAUGGAACAAAUAAAGAACUGCUUACAUGAAAAUCUUACAGGUUACCUCUUCUGGGAAAAAGAUGCCUCUGGCCUUCUUUAUAAUCUCAGCCCUGAUUGAAUGAGAGGAAAGGGCAAGAAAGGAUAAUUCAAUCUUAAUGAGAAGUGUUAUGAUAUACUUUUUUUUACCAUAUAUAUGUAUAUAUAUUCUAGAUGAGAAUUUUCAUUUGCUUAAUCCGCUGUUUGGAUAUGGAGAAAGUGUUAGGAACGGAAAUAAGUGGUGGAAAAUAAGAAAGAAUUCUCACUUUUCUUUGUUUGGAGAGGGACAAGAAAAAAAAAAGGAGGAAGGAAAAUAAGGUAAUUUUACCCUAUUUAUUUUCUCUUCAAUUUGGAGAAAAAAAUAAUAAGUGGGUUUUGUGCAUUGAAAUGUGUAAAAUUAUACUCUUUAUUGGGUAAAAGAGUAAAUACAAUAAAUGAGGGUAAAAUGGUAAAUUCAACUAUUUUCUUCUCAGUCCUCUUUCUAAACAAGAAAAAAAAAACUAAAUUAUUUUCCUUUUUAAUUCCUUUUAUUCUCUACUUAUCCCAACACAAAGGAUAAAAUAAAGAAGAGAAAACAAAAAAUUUUGAAAAAAAAUCCUUAUGUUAUCGUCCUUCCUCCCCCAUAAAUUAUCCAAACAGAGAGCGAGUAUCUUAUGAGACAAGCAUAUAAACCUUCCACUAUCAAAUGCAAUAACUGUCAGUUUGGUUCCUCUCCCCAGAAAGGAAAAUUUUACUUCCUAUUUCCUAUGCACAUGAUCUGCUCUGAGACAAUUGAGUAGUGAAGAUUGAAAAAUAUGUAUUCUGGUUCAUUUCUAAAGCAUGAAACAUUUUUUAACAUUCUGAACCAGCCAAAAUCAUUGAAGAAAAUAUAAUAUAAUUCAUGGUAACUUACAUGUCUCCACCUUCACAGUAGGCCGUUACUAUGCAUAUGCAACUUCCCUGCAUAGUAAAGCAUAAAGAUGCAAGCACAUUUGUUUAGAGUCGAUGCAAUCUAAUAGCCAUUGAUUAUUCCUAUGUCAUUGUAAAGAAAAUAUAUAUGUAAUUAUUUACCUUGUCCACCCAAGAAUCUUUAUACUCCACAAUAUAUGGGUUGCUAAGCUUUGAAAUCAAGUCCAUCUGCAACACGAAUCAUGAAAUCAACAAUGUUUUCUUCAGAGCAAGUUAUGCUCCUACUUUGAGCCAAAUAUAUUCUUUAAUAGAACUAACUUCUCUUGGUUGUAUGGGGGACGAACAUCAUCUUUAGUUAUUUUGCCCUCAAAAUAGUCAUGUUCGGAAGUUAACUUCUUGGAUACUUGAUGGCAGAGCUAGAAACUAAAACAGAAUGUUCAUAUUCUAGUUAUCAACUCAACCCUAAAAGUGAAAGUUGUGUAUAUGAUCAUUAAUGUUGAACAUUCAGCAUGUUCUGAAGGCAGAAGAAGUUUAAACAAUAUACGUUAUUAAUAUAUCUACAGCAGCAACCAGACCAAAAAAAAAAACAGUGAUGUAUUAAAUUUGCCUACAUAAUAACGUCAAGAAAAAAUUAGCAUUAACGCAUAUUUUCGUCUUCUUGGUAAUCUAGCAUGAGGUUCCAUGGUUCAAAAGCUUAGAUUACAGCACUGGAGAAAUGAUUAUAAGAAGAGGGCUGCAUUAAACGCCAUAGUUGGAUUUCUAGCAGAAUGCAGUAAUACAUAAAUAAAUAACUGAGCAAAUCCUAUAACCAAUCUCAUGGAACUAUGGAAGUAUCCAAAACUCAAUUCUUUUAUUAUUCUAAACAAGAAAAUAAAUUAACAACAAGUAAUUCUUUGCUCAAAUAAUAAUAAACUUUAAAUGAUAUGGUUAGUGAAGGUGACCUCCUGGUGAGCUGUUGCCUUGAACUUCUCAGUCUGCUUGGCCAGGCGAAUCUUCUUCAAAACAUACCUAACAGGCAGAGAAAAAAACCCAAAAAUCAAUGAGCUAACAGACAAAGAAAUGUGCCGACAGGACCACUACCUACCACUUUUAAAUCCCAAAUCAAAAUUUGAUUCAGAUACUUCGUGCUCGCAAUUGAAAUCAAUUAAUAACCGACCACAAGGAUGUUUACAUUUCCUUUCUUGAAAAUUUUAUUUCCUAUCAAGUCCACUUCAAUCAUUAAUAGCAAAAUCAGUUCAUCUCCUUCAAUUUGUUAAAACCCAGAAAUUGAGCUUUUCAGUGGGCAUAUUCAAGAAGAUCCACAGAGAUAAAGAACAAGAAGAAACAAAGCUUGCAAAAAAAAUAAAAACAGAGCUUCUUACUUCUUUUUCUCAGCUUUAUGAAGAACAAGAAAAGCAGAACCAAAAGCUCCUCUACCAAUCUGUUCAAUGACUUCAUAAUCUUCCAUUUUGGAUUUCCCUUCGCUGUUAUCUGCCUCCAUUGAAAACCUUAAAGACCCAAAAUCCAUGACAGCAGUAGAAAGUCACAGCUUCAAGUCAAGUUUAAAGAUCAAAUUCACAAAUCUUUUGAAUUCCCAAAGGGGAGAGGGAAGGAGAGAAGAGAAAAGGCUAAUACCCAACAGCUAGUAGAGCAAUAAUUAAUUAACGGUUAAGUAAACGAAAUUGAUAAGAGAUGAAUCUAGAGAAGAGACUAUUGAAGUAACCCUGAAACAAUGAGAAGAGGGCCUGAAGGAUGAGAGAUAAAAAAAAAAAAGUUGAGUAAAGCUACAUUCCAUAAUUAUGAGCUUCCAUUUUCCAACUUGAGAGGGAGAGGGAGAGAGAGAGAGAGAGAGAGGACAAAGUCAAGUAAAGUGGCAGUGCACUAAUUUGGCAGAAGUAAUUAAAAGACUUAGAUGACUUAUUAUU
rnacentral:lncRNA from 1 species